ACCUCACACCUUGAUUCAUAAACACACUCUUUCACUUCCAAGGCAAUUAACACUCAAAAUCUCUCUUCUCCCAACACACACAUAACUCAUUUUCCAUCAAAAACUCUUCCUUUUCUCCCUCUCUUCUUCUUGAAUUCGGCCAGCCAAAGAACAAAGGAAAAACAAAGUAAAACUCAUCUAAACACUUGUUAAUAAUAAAGGUUUAGGUUAGCUUAAGCAAGGGUUAUUGUAAGCAUAGUUUAAGGGUUGUUUUAAGGCUUGAAUAAGGGUUGUUGAAGGCUUCAUAGGUCACGAAUUUUCUGCCCUUUUUCAUCAACAAAAACGUUGUCAUCAAGGGCUUGCUUGAGGGGUGACACCACUAGGCGAAGUUCACGAAUUUGAUCAGCCCUCUUUAACUCUCGAACCAAUCUAGAGCAGUAAGUUAGCCUUAUGGACCGCCUCAUGGAUUGUACUUGCUUGUUGCUUGAAGGACUUGUAAUGCAAACAAACUUAUCUUUUGAUUUCGACUUUGGUUAUGUAAUGAUAUUUAAACAUCAACUUGAACUUAUUAUCCUUUGAAUUUGAAUGGCAUUUGAAACUUUAUGUUGA